AUGGCUAAUUUUUGUAUAUAUUAUAAAAUGAGCCCCUGCAAAAAUAUAUAUUAUAAAAUGAGUGCAAUACAGUUCAUCAAUCAUGAACCGAGUCGAAGUACAAGAGAUUGUUACUUUCUCUAUUGUUCUAUUGCAGCGAACUGCCAGAAGAAAAUGAUCAAGCUCACUUUAAGAAAAAAAUUGAUGGAAAAUGCAUGGCAUAACAUAUGUAAGAGCAUGGUUUGGAAACGGACUUUCCUGCGCUAUGAGCAUUGGUCUUCACUCUUCAACAUCUUUCUUCCCUGUCCUGCUGCUUUUAGAGACAUGCAAGUUUAG
rnacentral:rRNA from 1 species